rnacentral:rRNA from 1 species
CAGUAGCCGCGGUAAUACAGAGGGUGCGAGCGUUAAUCGGAUUUACUGGGCGUAAAGCGUGCGUAGGCGGCUAAUUGAGUCGGAUGUGAAAUCCCCGAGCUUAACUUGGGAAUUGCAUUCGAUACUGGUUAGCUAGAGUGUGGGAGAGGAUGGUAGAAUUCCAGGUGUAGCGGUGAAAUGCGUAGAGAUCUGGAGGAAUACCGAUGGCGAAGGCAGCCAUCUGGCCUAACACUGACGCUGAGGUACGAAAGCAUGGGGAGCAAACAGGAUUAGAGACCCCGGUAGUCCCUGUCUCUUAUAC